GUACUCGCUUCGGCGGUACAUAUACUAAAAUUCCAUAGAUACAGAGAAGAUUAACAUUGCCCCUGCGAAUCAAACCGCAAUGACGUAAAAAUGCUAGUAAAUAUUU